rnacentral:rRNA from 1 species
AAUGGGCGCAACGUGAUGCAGCAACGCCGCGUGCGGGAAGAAGGCCCUAGGGUUGUAAACCGCUUUCAGCAGGGAAGAAAAUGACGGUACCUGUAGAAGAAGGUGCGGCCAACUACGUGCCAGCAGCCGCGGUGACACGUAGGCACCAAGCGUUGUCCGGAUUUAUUGGGCGUAAAGAGCUCGUAGGCGGUUCGGUAAGU